rnacentral:rRNA from 1 species
CAAAGGUGAGCCAGUACAGGAUGGACCCGCGUCUGAUUAGCUAGUUGGUAAGGUAACGGCUUACCAAGGCGACGAUCAGUAGCCGACCUGAGAGGGUGAUCGGCCACAUUGGAACUGAGACACGGUCCAAACUCCUACGGGAGGCAGCAGUGGGGAAUAUUGCACAAUGGGCGAAAGCCUGAUGCAGCAACGCCGCGUGAGUGAUGAAGGCCUUCGGGUCGUAAAACUCUGUCCUCAAGGAAGAUAAUGACGGUACUUGAGGAGGAAGCCCCGGCUAACUACGUGCCAGCAGCCGCGGUAAUACGUAGGGGGCUAGCGUUAUCCGGAUUUACUGGGCGUAAAGGGUGCGUAGGCGGUCUUUCAAGUCAGGAGUGAAAGGCUACGGCUCAACCGUAGUAAGCUCUUGAAACUGGGAGACUUGAGUGCAGGAGAGGAGAGUGGAAUUCCUAGUGUAGCGGUGAAAUGCGUAGAUAUUAGGAGGAACACCAGUUGCGAAGGCGGCUCUCUGGACUGUAACUGACGCUGAGGCACGAAAGCGUGGGGAGCAAACAGGAUUAGAUACCCUGGUAGUCCACGCUGUAAACGAUGAGUACUAGGUGUCGGGGGUUACCCCCCUCG